UAAGGAAUAUUGGACAAUGGAGGCAACUCUGAUCCAGCCAUACCGCGUGAAGGAAUAAGGCCCUAUGGGUUGUAAACUUCUUUUAGACGGGACAAAACCCCUUUACGUGUAACGGGUUGAUGGUACUGUCAGAAUAAGCAUCGGCUAACUUCGUGCCAGCAGCCGCGGUAAUACGAAGGAUGCAAGCGUUAUCCGGAAUUAUUGGGUUUAAAGGGUGCGUAGGCGGACUAAUAAGUCAGUGGUGAAAGCCUGCAGCUUAACUGCAGAAUUGCCAUUGAUACUGUUAGUCUUGAGUACAGUUGAGGUAGGCGGAAUGUGUCAUGUAGCGGUGAAAUGCUUAGAUAUGACACAGAACACCGAUUGCGAAGGCAGCUUGCUAAGCUGUAACUGACGCUGAGGCACGAAAGCGUGGGGAGCAAACA
rnacentral:rRNA from 1 species